UACGUAGGUGGCAAGCGUUGUCCGGAUUUAUUGGGUUUAAAGGGUGCGUAGGCGGUCAAGUAAGUCAGCGGUGAAAUCCGGCAGCUCAACUGUCGAUGUGCCAUUGAUACUGCAUGACUUGAGUACUGAUGAGGUAGGCGGAAUUGACGGUGUAGCGGUGAAAUGCUUAGAUAUCGUCAAGAACACCGAUAGCGAAGGCAGCUUACUAAGCAGUAACUGACGCUGAACGCACGAAAGUGUGGGGAUCAAACAGG
rnacentral:rRNA from 1 species